rnacentral:rRNA from 1 species
UACGUAGGCAGCAAGCGUUGUUCGGAGUUACUGGGCGUAAAGGGUGCGUAGGCGGUUGUUUAAGUUUGGUGUGAAAUCUCCCGGCUCAACCGGGAGGGUGCGCCGAAUACUGAAUGACUAGAGUGCGGGAGAGGAGAGUGGAAUUCCUGGUGUAGCGGUGAAAUGCGUAGAGUAUCAAGGAGGAACACCGGUGGUGUAGGC